AGCGAACGCUGGCGGCAGGCCUAACACAUGCAAGUCGAACGAAGUCUUCGGACUUAGUGGCGGACGGGUGAGUAACACGUGGGAACGUGCCUUUAGGUUCGGAAUAACUCAGGGAAACUUUUGCUAAUACCGAAUGUGCUCUUCGGGGGAAAGAUUUAUCGCCUUUAGAGCGGCCCGCGUCUGAUUAGCUAGUUGGUGAGGUAAAGGCUCACCAAGGCUACGAUCAGUAGCUGGUCUGAGAGGAUGACCAGCCACAUUGGGACUGAGACACGGCCCAAACUCCUACGGGAGGCAGCAGUGGGGAAUCUUGCGCAAUGGGCGAAAGCCUGACGCAGCCAUGCCGCGUGGAUGAUGAAGGUCUUAGGAUUGUAAAAUCCUUUCACCGGUGAAGAUAAUGACUGUAGCCGGAGAAGAAGCCCCGGCAAACUUCGUGCCAGCCGCCGCAGUAACAC
rnacentral:rRNA from 1 species